rnacentral:rRNA from 1 species
UACGAAUGCUGCAAGCGUAGUUCGGAAUCACUGGGCAUAAAGAGCACGUAGGCGGCCUAUUAAGUCAACUGUGAAAUCCCUCGGCUUAACCGAGGAACUGCAGCUGAUACUGAUAGGCUUGAGUACGGGAGGGGAGAGCGGAAUUCCUGGUGGAGCGGUGAUAUGCAUAGAGAUCAGGAGGAACGCCGGUGGCGAAAGCGGCUCUCUGGACCGUUACUGACGCUGAGGUGCGAAAGCUAGGGGAGCGAACAGG